GGAGUAGGAAAGCCGGUGGGAAAAAGCAGAGGACGAGCGGAGGCGCAUUCAUGAGCUCCCUGUACGAUAUCUCCUGCUUCGCUGCCGGCGUUGCUGGUAAUCUCCUUCGCCUCUCCGCUUCCGAAUUCUCAGUUGUUCUCAAGAGUGGUUAAGCUGAAAGUUCUUCCUUCAAUUUUGGUCCGCCGUUGCAGGAAACAUCUUCGCCCUCGCCCUCUUCCUGUCGCCGGUGUAAGCUACCAAACUGAUUUUUUUUUCCUCUUUGUUUUUCAUUUCUCUCCUGCUCGUUUAUUUCGUCGAUCUGAUCAUGGCGUUGCUGUUCGAUUGGUGGAUGCCAGGCCGACGUUCAAGAGGGUGGUGAAGGCCAAGUCGACGGAGCGGUUCGAUGGGCUCCCCUACCUGCUCUCCCUGCUCAACUGCUGCAUCUGCCUCUGGUACGGCCUCCCCUGGGUCUCCGACGGCGGCAGGACCCUCGUGGCCACCGUCAACGGCACCGGCGCGCUGUUCCAGCUCGCGUACAUUUCGCUCUUCAUCUUCUACGCCGACAGCAGGAGCACACGGGUAAUUCUUUCCUUGCCGACUUGCCGUCCUCAACUACACCAGCUUCAGUUCGGAAAAGAGACCCGAAGAAUUGUGCUGGUUCUUUGCCGUGUCUGACUGACCGACACGAGUAAGAUGGACCGCACAAUUUUGUCUGUGGAAGCUGUUUUCUUUCUUCCAUUUCUGCAAUAGACGAUGUUUGCGUGGAUAAUGAGACCUGUUCUUCGUCCUCUCCACAGUUAAAGAUCACGGGGAUCCUGCUGCUCGAAGUCUUCGUGUUCGCGUUCGUUGCGCAUGCGAGCAUCGCCUUCUUGGACCAGCCGGCCCGGCAGCUGUUCAUCGGCGGCGUGAGCAUGGCGUCUCUGAUCUCCAUGUUUGCCUCCCCACUGGCCGUCAUGGUACGCUUUCCUAAGCUGAGCGCUCGAUUGAUUUCUUCCUCGUCUAACUUUGCCGCCGGACGAAAUGACCACCUCUCACGGCUUUUGCGUGUUUCGUCCUGGUUCUUCAGGGUUUGGUGAUCCGGACCGAGUGCGUGGAGUUCAUGCCCUUCUACUUGUCCCUCUCCACCUUCCUCAUGAGCGCCUCCUUCACAAUGUACGGGCUUCUGCUGCGUGAUUUCUUCAUAUACGUGAGCACCCGAUUCGUUCUCAUUUCAGCUUACGCUUUCAUGAACUGAUUGUCGAACUUAUUUGGUAGAUGCGUUCACCGAGAGUUCGGUUAACCAACUUUUGAGUUUUGAUGUUGAUUUUUCAGGUCCCCAAUGGGAUUGGAGUCAUCCUGGGAGCAAUGCAGCUGGUGCUGUACGCUUACUACAGCAGGAAAUGGAAGAGCAGUGAACCUUCUGCACCGUUGCUCGCCUGAGCAAAACCGACUUGAUCAGUCAGCUGGUUGCUCUCCGUUGCUGGGAUUCAGAAAAGAGGGGGGUGACGGUUUCUUGAAGGAGAGUCUAAGAGGGAGAUGUUACUACUUGCUAGUGGCAGUCUAUACGUUGUUUUGUCCUGGUCACUGUGCUGUACAUUGUUGGCUUUGUGCCCCGUCAUUUCUCUUCACGUAUUUGUAGUGAAA
rnacentral:lncRNA from 1 species